CUGUCCUCUUCUAAACUCUCCGUAAAGGCCAGUCGCCCUGGUAACAAUAUUGCUCUGUUGCAGAGCAGAGAAUGCGAGCUCAUCACGCCAAGUCACAAGCUUUAGACAAGGGUCAUCCGCUCCUGACUGGUGUCUUCUCAUUUCGUAGUUGUCUAGUAAGCGAAGAUCGAACUUGAGAGAGACAGGUUCACGCUUUCAUCAUCAUCACGAUGCUUUUCUAUCUCUAUCUACUGGAACAUGAGAGCAUAACGGACAAAGGUAUGCAGCUGGUAGCUGAAAGUUAUCAAGACUUGAGAGUCACUGAAUAUCACUAGUUGAAGGAAAACUGAACGAGUUACUAGAUCCUGUGGGAGGGAAAAACAGUAAAAGGCUAUUGCAGCAGUGGAUGAUUCUCGAUGCCCUUUUGAAGACAAAGCCAGGAACUGUUUUAGUACUAUGAAUAUGUUUUAGUGGGGACGUAAUCAAGAAACAAGAAUGGUACCGUCUU